AAAAAAUUACACGAAGUUAAGGCCAAGUGAAAACUCUAAAAAUGCAACUCUUUGAUUAUUUUUAUUUUUUUAAUUUACUACCACACAACAUGUACAAAUAUGUUACACAUCAAGCUUACACAGGGUCAUGGAUGGGUGGUGGAUUUGGGCUAGGGAAUAAAUACGAUGGGAGGCACAAAAUAGUGAAAAAGAGAAAAAAAAAAAACUACCCAGUACA
rnacentral:misc_RNA from 1 species